UAUCAUGCAAGUCGAGGGGCAGCACAGGUAGCAAUACUGGGUGGCGACCGGCAAACGGGUGCGGAACACGUACGUAACCUUCCUUUAAGUGGGAGAUAGCCCGAAGAAAUUCGGAUUAAUACCCCAUAAGAUUGUGGAGUGGCAUCACUCAGCAAUUAAAGAAAUUCGCUUAAAGAUGGGCGUGCGGCUGAUUAGGUAGUUGGUGAGGUAACGGCUCACCAAGCCAACGAUCAGUAACUGGCGUGAGAGCGCGACCAGUCACACGGGCACUGAGACACGGGCCCGACUCCUACGGGAGGCAGCAGUAAGGAAUAUUGGUCAAUGGACGCAAGUCUGAACCAGCCAUGCCGCGUGAAGGAUGAAGGUCCUCUGGAUUGUAAACUUCUUUUAUAUGGGAAGAAACCACUUUUUUCUAAAGGUGUUGACGGUACCAUAGGAAUAAGCACCGGCUAACUCCGUGCCAGCAGCCGCGGUAAUACGGAGGGUGCAAGCGUUAUCCGGAUUCACUGGGUUUAAAGGGUGCGUAGGCGGAUUAGUAAGUCCGUGGUGAAAUCUCCGAGCUUAACUCGGAAACUGCCGUGGAUACUAUUAAUCUUGAAUACUGUGGAGGUUAGCGGAAUAUGUCAUGUAGCGGUGAAAUGCAUAGAUAUGACAUAGAACACCAAUUGCGAAGGCAGCUGGCUACACAGAGAUUGACGCUGAGGCACGAAAGCGUGGGGAUCAAACAGGAUUAGAUACCCUGGUAGUCCACGCCCUAAACGAUGAUUACUCGACAUUUGCGAUAUACAGUAAGUGUCUGAGCGAAAGCAUUAAGUAAUCCACCUGGGAAGUACGACCGCAAGGUUGAAAC
rnacentral:rRNA from 1 species